UACGUAGGGGGCUAGCGUUGUCCGGAUUUAUUGGGCGUAAAGAGCGCGUAGGCGGCCUGUGCAAGUCAGUUGUGAAAUCUCCGGGCUUAACUCGGAACGGUCAACUGAUACUGCUCGGCUAGAGUGCGGAAGGGGCAACUGGAAUUCUUGGUGUAGCGGUGAAAUGCGUAGAUAUCAAGAGGAACACCUGCGGCGAAGGCGGGUUGCUGGGCCGACACUGACGCUGAAGUGCGAAAGCUAGGGGAGCGAACGGG
rnacentral:rRNA from 1 species